AAAUAACUAAUCAUCUUCUUCAUUGUAUAAAUUAGUUCAUACUUUAAUAUCAUAUUAUAUAAAAUAAUUCUGUUUUUUUUAAGUGAACAAAGUGAGAACAUUCCUGCUACUAAUGCAACAACUAAGAGUGUGUCUGCUACACAUAACACAACUGACAAAGAGAGUAGGGAUGAAAGCAAGCAAGAAGAAGUUCAACCAAAAGUGCAAAGCAAUCCAGUAAAGAAUAGUCUUGGCCAAAAAAAACCCAAAGAUGAUGCAAGAAUAACAACAUUAAAGGACAAGAUGCAAGAAAUACAUUUAGACAUAGAGAGAAACCCAAAGUAUGUUUAAAUUUAAAUAAUUGAAUUAAUUUAAUCAAUUAAUGAAUAUAUUUCAAAGUUAUAUAACAAUAUAAUACAUUUACAGGAAGCACAAAGAAUCGACAAUCAGAAUUAUGAGAAAUCUCAAAAGAAUGGAAAAGGCAAGCAAGGAAAUCAGGAAAGGUAAAU